GAUGAAGAACGUAGCGAAACGCGAUAGUUAAUGUGAAUUGCAGAAUUCAGUGAAUCAUCGAGUCUUUGAACGCACAUUGCGCCCCCUGGUAUUCCGGGGGGCAUGCCUGUCCGAGCGUCAUUGCUGCCCAUCAAGCGCGGCUUGUGUGUUGGGCCGCCGUCCGCCUUCCCCCCCGGGGGGAGGGGGACGGGCCCGAAAGGCAGCGGCGGCACCGCGUCCGGUCCUCGAGCGUAUGGGGCUCUGUCACCCGCUCUGGAGGCCCGGCCGGCGCCCGCCGACCCCCAACCUUCUUCUAACCAGGUUGACCUCGGAUCAGGUAGGGAUACCCGCUGAACUUAAGCAUAUCAAUAAGCGGAGGA
rnacentral:misc_RNA from 1 species